rnacentral:rRNA from 1 species
CGUAAAGGGUGUGUAGGGGGCGUUGUUAGUCCUGCCUUAAAGCUUCCCGCUUAACGGGAAAAAUGGGUGGGAAACGGCAAUGCUAUGAGGAUGCGAGAGGUUAAUGGAACUCUGGGUGUAGGGGUGAAAUCCGUUGAUAUCCAGAGGAACACCGAAAGCGAAGGCAAUUAACUGGCGCAUUCCUGACCCUGAGACACGAAAGCGUGGGUAGCGAAAGGGAUUAGAUACCCCUGUAGUCCACGCCGUAAACGAUGUUCUCUAGCUUCCCGAAGUAUCGACCCUUUGGGUGGCGAAGCUAACGCGUUAAGAGAACCGCCUGGGAAGUACGGCCGCAAGGCUAAAACUCAAAGGAAUAGACGGGGACUUGCACAAGCGGUGGAUCAUGCGGUUUAAUUCGUCAGCAAGCGAAGAACCUUACCAGGGCUUGACAUGCUAGUGAAAUCUUGCCGAAAGGUGAGACUUCUCACAAGGACACUGGCACAGGUGUUGCAUGGCUGUCGUCAGUUCGUGAUUUGAAUUGUUCCCUUAAGUGGGGUGACGAACGCAACCCUCGUCGUCUGUUAUGCGUGUCAGACGAGACCGCCCCUUACUUUGUCCAGCAGUAAUAUAAUUGGUGGCCAAUGUGAGGGGAGGAAGGUGAGGAUGACGCCAAGUCAGCAUGA